CCUACGGGUGGCAGCAGUGAGGAAUAUUGGUCAAUGGACGAGAGUCUGAACCAGCCAAGUAGCGUGAAGGAUGACUGCCCUAUGGGUUGUAAACUUCUUUUAUAUGGGAAUAAAAUGUUCCACGUGUGUGAUUUUGUAUGUACCAUAUGAAGAAGGAUCGGCUAACUCCGUGCCAGCAGCCGCGGUAAUACGGAGGAGCCGAGCGUUAUCCGGAUUUCUUGGGUUAAAAGGGAGCGUAGGUAGAUUAUUAAGUCAGUUGUAAAAGUUUGCGGCUAAACCGUAAAAUUGAGUUGAAACUGGGAGUCUUGAGUACAGUAGAGGUAGGCGGAAUUCGUGGUGUAGCGGUGAAAUGCUUAGAUAUCACGAAGAACUCCGAUUGCGAAGGCAGCUCACUGGACUGCAACUGACACUGAGGCUCGAAAGUGUGGGUAUCAAACAGGAUUAGAUACCCCGGUAGUC
rnacentral:rRNA from 1 species